rnacentral:sRNA from 1 species
CUUGCGUCCCGACUUGAACGGAACUCCUUUUUUGUGGCUGGAAAAGCCUUGGCAAAAAGAGUGGGAGUGGAAGGCGGAAAAGACG